rnacentral:rRNA from 1 species
UGGGGAAUCUUGCACAAUGGGCGAAAGCCUGAUGCAGCGACGCCGCGUGCGGGAUGAAGGCCUUCGGGUUGUAAACCGCUUUCAGCAGGGACGAGGCCGCAAGGUGACGGUACCUGCAGAAGAAGCCCCGGCUAACUACGUGCCAGCAGCCGCGGUAAUACGUAGGGGGCAAGCGUUAUCCGGAUUCAUUGGGCGUAAAGCGCGCGUAGGCGGUUUGUUAGGUCAGGAGUUAAAUCUGGGGGCUCAACCCCUAUCCGCUCCUGAUACCGGCAGGCUUGAGUCUGGUAGGGGAAGGCGGAAUUCCAAGUGUAGCGGUGAAAUGCGCAGAUAUUAGGAGGAAUACCUGUGGCGAAGGCGACUUACUGGACACAAAUCUGACGCUGAGGAACGAAAGCGUGGGUAGCAAACAGG